CCUACGGGAGGCAGCAGUGAGGAAUAUUGGUCAAUGGACGAGAGUCUGAACCAGCCAAGCAGCGUGAAGGAUGACUGCCCUAUGGGUUGUAAACUUCUUUUAUAUGGGAAUAAAACGUUCCACGUGUGGGGUUUUGUAUGUACCAUAUGAAUAAGGAUCGGCUAACUCCGUGCCAGCAGCCGCGGUAAUACGGAGGAUUCGAGCGUUAUCCGGAUUUAUUGGGUUUAAAGGGAGCGUAGGUGGAUUGUUAAGUGAGUUGUGAAAGUUUGCGGCUCAACCGUAGAAUUGCAGUUGAAACUGGCAGUCUUGAGUACAGUAGAGGUGGGCGGAAUGCGUGGUGUAGCGGUGAAAUGCUUAGAUAUCACGAAGAACACCGAUUGCGAAGGCAGUUCACUGGACUGCAACUGACACUGAGGCUCGAAAGUGUGGGUAUCAAACAGGAUUAGAUACCCGAGUAGUC
rnacentral:rRNA from 1 species